rnacentral:rRNA from 1 species
AGCUCCAAUAGCGUAUAUUAAAGUUGUUGCGGUUAAAAAGCUCGUAGUUGGAUUUCUGUCGAGGGCGUCCGGUCCGCAUUUUGUGCGUGUAUCUGGUUCGGCCUUGGCAUCCUCUUGAAGUUUGUCGGUGCGCUUGAUUGCGUGGCGCAGAAUUCAAGACUUUUACUUUGAGGAAAUUAGAGUGGUCACGGCAGGCAAACGCCUUGAAUACAUUAGCAUGGAAUAAUACCAUAGGACUUUGGUUCUAUUUUGUUGGUUUCUGGAGCCAAGGUAAUGAUUAAUAGGGAUAAUUGGGGGCAUUCGUAUUAACACGUCAGAGGUGAAAUUCUUGGAUUGUGUUACGACGCACUACUGCGAAAGCAUUUGCCAAGGAUGUUUUCA